GAUGAACGCUGGCGGCGUGCCUAAUACAUGCAAGUCGAGCGCGACUUCUUAUACCGAACCUUCGGGUUCACUUUAAGAGUCGAGCGGCGGACGGGUGAGUAACACGUGGGCAACCUGCCCUUAAGACUGGGAUAACUACGGGAAACCGUAGCUAAUACCGGAUAACACUUUUAAACAUAAGUUUAAGAGUUAAAAGGUGGAUUUAUCUACCACUUAAGGAUGGGCCUGCGGCGCAUUAGCUAGUUGGUGAGGUAAUGGCUUACCAAGGCGACGAUGCGUAGCCGACCUGAGAGGGUGAUCGGCCACACUGGAACUGAGACACGGUCCAGACUCCUACGGGAGGCAGCAGUAGGGAAUCUUCCGCAAUGGGCGAAAGCCUGACGGAGCAACGCCGCGUGUGCGAAGAAGGUCUUCGGAUCGUAAAGCACUGUUGUUAAGGAAGAACGACAGUAAGAGUCACUGCUUACUGUGUGACGGUACUUAACCAGAAAGCCACGGCUAACUACGUGCCAGCAGCCGCAGUAAAAC
rnacentral:rRNA from 1 species